AAGCCCCGCCAUGCGGCCCCCGGGGCUCUGCGGGGCCGCGCCGCUUGCCGCGGCCGCUCUCCUGGUGCUGGGGGCUCCCCUGGCGCUGGCCCGCGAGGACUGCCUGUGGUACCUGGACCGGAACGGCUCCUGGCAUCCAGGCUUCAACUGCGAGUUCUUCACCUUCUGCUGCGGGACCUGCUACCAGCGCUACUGCUGCAGAGACCUGACCUUGCUCAUCACCGAGAGGCAGCAGAAGCACUGCCUGGCCUUCAGUCCCAAGACCAUAGCAGGCAUCGCCUCGGCCGUGAUCCUCUUCGUGGCGGUGGUGGCCACCACCAUCUGCUGCUUCCUGUGCUCCUGCUGCUACCUGUACCGCCGGCGCCAGCAUCUGCAGAGCCCCUUCGAAGCGAGUGCCGCUGUGUACACACACCUGCCAGCCUGCAACCGCAGAGACGAGAACGUGCCGGGGCCGUGUGUGAACAGCGGGCGUGAGUAUGCGGGCGGACAUGCGUGCAUGUGAACGUGCAGAUGUGCGCGGCCGGCCGUCUGUCAACAGUGGUGUGGUGCAGCGGGUACGUGCAUGCACGGGACUCUUGGAAAGGACACGGGGGGGCCUGUAGUGGUGAGCAUUAAUUGCACGUACUCUAGUCUACAGUGGACUGUGUGCCUCAGUGUUGGCAUGUGACCGAGUGUAUGCCCAACCCUGAGGGGCGUGGGCACGGUGUCGCUGCACGGGGGAUCAGUGUGGGAGGAAAAGGCUGAGGGCAGACCCCCUGAGAGGCAGCUCUGCUAGAUUAGAAGAUACCAGACCCUGGAGCUGCCCUGUCCUUGCCUAAGUGGGACAUUUCCCAAGCUGUGUUCUCUGGCUCGUGAGGCUUCUGAAACCUGCUGAGGGGAGCAAACCUGCUAAACACAGACUGACCCGCUGGGACCACGUGCACAGCUCCCCGCUCAGCUCUGCCAAGCAAUGUCGGGGAGGCAAACGCAGCAGGCCAGGAGAUUCCAAUGACAGGCAUCCCAGUGCAGCCAGUGUACCCAUACCCCCAGGACCCCAAAGCUGGCCCCGCACCCCCACAGCCUGG